rnacentral:rRNA from 1 species
AUUGAACGCUGGCGGCAGGCCUAACACAUGCAAGUCGAGCGAGCGGCGGACGGGUGAGUAAUGUAUGGGGACUGCCCGAUAGAGGGGGAUAACUACUGGAAACGGUGGCUAAUACCGCAUACUAUCGGAUAACCCAUAUGGGAUUGGCUAGUAGGUAAGGUAAUGGCUUACCUAGGCGACGAUCCCUAGCUGGUCUGAGAGGAUGAUCAGCCACACUGGGACUGAGAAACGGCGCAGACUCCUACGGAGGCAGCAGGGGGGAAUGUGGAACAACGGGCGAAAGCCAGAUGCAGCCAUGCCGCGUGUAUGAAGAAGGCCAUAGGGUUUUAAAGUACUUUCAGUCGGGAGGCGUUACCGUCAGAAGAAGCACCGGCUAACUCCGUGCCAGCAGCCGCGGUAAUAC